UGGGGAAUAUUGGUCAAUGGACGAGAGUCUGAACCAGCCAUGCCGCGUGAGGGAUGAAGGCGUUCUGCGUUGUAAACUUCUUUUGCGAGGGAAGAAACAUUGGUAUUAUUAUCAAGCCGACGGUAACCCGAGAAUAAGCACAGGCUACCUCCGUGCCAGCAGCCGCGGUAAUACGGAGGGUGCAAGCGUUAUCCGGAUUUACUGGGCUUAAAGCGUGUGUAGGCGGAUUAUUAAGUCAGCGGUGAAAUCUCUAGGCUCAACCUGGAAACUGCAAUUGAUACUAUUAGUCUAGAAUAUUGUGGAGGUGGGCAGAACUGGUAAUGUAGCGGUUAAAUGCAUAGAUAUGACCAGGAAUACCGAUUGCGAAGGCAGCCCACUAAGCUAUUAUUGACGCUGAGGUACGAAAGCGUGGGGAUCAAACA
rnacentral:rRNA from 1 species